AAAUUGAAGAGUUUGAUCAUGGCUCAGAUUGAACGCUGGCGGCAGGCCUAACACAUGCAAGUCGAACGGUAACAGGAAGAAGCUUGCUUCUUUGCUGACGAGUGGCGGACGGGUGAGUAAUGUCUGGGAAACUGCCUGAUGGAGGGGGAUAACUACUGGAAACGGUAGCUAAUACCGCAUAACGUCGCAAGACCAAAGAGGGGGACCUUCGGGCCUCUUGCCAUCGGAUGUGCCCAGAUGGGAUUAGCUAGUAGGUGGGGUAACGGCUCACCUAGGCGACGAUCCCUAGCUGGUCUGAGAGGAUGACCAGCCACACUGGAACUGAGACACGGUCCAGACUCCUACGGGAGGCAGCAGUGGGGAAUAUUGCACAAUGGGCGCAAGCCUGAUGCAGCCAUUCCGCGUGUAUGAAGAAGGCCUUCGGGUUGUAAAGUACUUUCAGCGGGGAGGAAGGGAGUAAAGUUAAUACCUUU
rnacentral:rRNA from 1 species